rnacentral:lncRNA from 1 species
ACUUCAGACCUUUUUUAUCUUCAUUUUGUAUUUUGUAAUUUUUUUUUUCAUUUUCAUUUGAUCUCUAAAACCGGGUGUUUUCGUGUCUCCUUUUUUUGAGAUUUCUUUUCUCUUUUUUUUUUUCAAAAUUAGAAAAAUUGUGCACAGUACACAAAGUACUACUUAGGGAGACUAGAUAAACCUACAAUUACUCACCUUUUAGCAACUUUAUUGACUCCUAAAU